GAUGAACGCUGGCGGCGUGCCUAACACAUGCAAGUCGAGCGGGUGUGUUUGGAGUGCUUGCACUCCGAAUAUACUAGCGGCAGACGGGUGAGUAACGCGUGGGUAACCUACCUUGAACAGGGGAAUAACACUGAGAAAUCAGUGCUAAAACCGCAUAAGCUCCCGAUACGGCAUCGUAUUGAGAGAAAAUAUUCAUAGGUUCAAGAGGGGCCCGCGGCUGAUUAGCUAGUUGGAGAGGUAACGGCUCACCAAGGCGACGAUCAGUAGCCGACCUGAGAGGGUGAUCGGCCACAUUGGGACUGAGACACGGCCCAAACUCCUACGGGAGGCAGCAGUGGGGAAUAUUGCGCAAUGGACGAAAGUCUGACGCAGCAACGCCGCGUGAAGGAUGAAGGUUUUCGGAUUGUAAACUUCUAUCGAUGGGGAAAAUAAUGAUAGUACCCAAGUAAGAAGCCCCGGCUAACUACGUGCCAGCAGCCGCAGUAACAC
rnacentral:rRNA from 1 species